CCGAGGCAGGCGAGGAGCCCCGAGCGGGGCUCUGAGUGUUAGGAGGAGCCGAGCGAUCCAAAGCAUGACCUGCAGGCUGAGAGCAGCCAGGCGGCCUUGGAACAACUGGCCGAGCCACCACGAGACCCAAACCCGCACUUUGGGAGGGGCCUGGGGUCCACAGAAAACGCCCACACGCCCUCAGCGCAGCCUGCCUGCAGCCCCCAGCCCAGCCAACAAGGCCCGGGCGAGGCCACUUCACUGCCCAACUCCAAGCCCAGCCCAGGUUGUGAAGGCUGAAGAGCUAACCUGGCCGGCGUCCCAGGCAGAGACUGGGAGCGAGCAGGGACUCUGGAAGCCGGCAGAGCUGAUCUGCUGGCUGCCUGACUUGGGGCCGUUGCCUCCACUUCUGAGCCUGGUGUUCUCGGCUGCAGAGUGGGGACGGCUAAUGCCUACCUUAUAGGGGGAGGAAGAAAUGAGGGGACAACGCAGCCGCUCUGUGCACAUUACACCACACAGUCCUCGCAGUUAGGGUUCGUGUUCUCAGUGCACCUGAAGAAAACAAGGCUCAGAAAAGAGGCUGGGCCACAACUCCGCCCUCAGGGGAGAAGACAGGUAUUCCCGGCAGACAACCACAGCUCACACAUCUGCUCGAGACACGGGAUCCUGACUGGGAAGUUCUCUGCGCGCCCUGCAACGCCCCCAUGCCCACUCUGCAGCCAUGAACACGCUUUGUUGGCUUUCCUCGCUCAGAC
rnacentral:lncRNA from 1 species